AGCGAACGCUGGCGGCGUGCCUAACACAUGCAAGUCGAACGUGAAAAGGGAAACCUGAGUAAAGUGGCGUACGGGUGAGUAACGCGUAGGUAAUCUACCCCAGAAUCUGGAAUAACCUGCCGAAAGGCGGGCUAAUACUGGAUAGAGCGAGGGAACUCGUAAGAGAGUUUUUCGGGAAAGGGAGCCCGCAAGGGCCUUCGGUCUGGGAUGAGCCUGCGUCUCAUUAGCUAGUUGGUAAGGUAACGGAUUACCAAGGCGAGGAUGAGUAGCUGGUCUGAGAGGAUGAUCAGCCAUACUGGAACUGAAACACGGUCCAGAGUCCUACGGGAGGCAGCAGUGGGGAAUCUUGCGCAAUGGGCGAAAGUCUGACGCAGCCACGCCGCGUGAGUGAAGAAGGACUUCGGGUUGUAAAGCUCUGUCGGAUGGGACGAACAUCUUCAUAGUGAAUAGCUAUGAGGACUGACGGUACCAUCAAAGGAAGCACCGGCUAACUACGUG
rnacentral:rRNA from 1 species